rnacentral:rRNA from 1 species
UACGUAGGGAGCAAGCGUUGUCCGGAAUCAUUGGGCGUAAAGCGCGCGUAGGCGGCCUCAUAAGUCCGUUGUGAAAGUCAAAGGCUCAACCUUUGAAAGCCGAUGGAUACUGUGAGGCUAGAGUCCGGAAGAGGCGAGUGGAAUUCCUGGUGUAGCGGUGGAAUGCGCAGAUAUCAGGAGGAACACCAAUGGCGAAGGCAGCUCGCUGGGACGUGACUGACGCUGAGACGCGAAAGCGUGGGGAGCAAGCAGG